CGAAAGCCUGACGGAGCAAUACCGCGUGAGGGAGGAAGGCUCUUGGGUUGUAAACCUCUUUUCUCAGGGAAGAACGCAAUGACGGUACCUGAGGAAUAAGCAUCGGCUAACUCCGUGCCAGCAGCCGCGGUAAUACGGAGGAUGCAAGCGUUAUCCGGAAUGAUUGGGCGUAAAGCGUCCGCAGGUGGCAUUGCAAGUCUGCUGUCAAAGCUCAGGGCUCAACCCUGAAAAGGCAGUGGAAACUGAAAUGCUGGAGUGCGGUAGGGGUAGAGGGAAUUCCCGGUGUAGCGGUGAAAUGCGUAGAGAUCGGGAAGAACACCAGUGGCGAAGGCGCUCUACUAGGCCGCAACUGACACUCAUGGACGAAAGCUAGGGGAGCG
rnacentral:rRNA from 1 species